rnacentral:rRNA from 1 species
UACAGAGGGUGCAAGCGUUGUUCGGAAUUAUUGGGCGUAAAGCGCGUGUAGGCGGUUUUGCAAGUCGGGUGUGAAAGCCCUCAGCUCAACUGAGGAAGUGCGCCCGAAACUGCAGAUCUUGAGUACCGGAGAGGAUGGCGGAAUUCCCCAAGUAGAGGUGAAAUUCGUAGAUAUGGGGAGGAACACCGGUGGCGAAGGCGGCCAUCUGGACGGAUACUGACGCUGAGACGCGAAAGCGUGGGUAGCAAACAGG